UACGAAGGGGACUAGCGUUGUUCGGAAUCACUGGGCGUAAAGCGCACGUAGGCCGAUAUGUCAGUCAGGGGUGAAAUCCCGGGGCUCAACCUCGGAACUGCCUUUGAUACAGCAUAUCUUGAGUCCGAUAGAGGUGGGUGGAAUUCCUAGUGUAGAGGUGAAAUUCGUAGAUAUUAGGAAGAACACCGGUGGCGAAGGCGGCCCACUGGAUCGGUACUGACGCUGAGGUGCGAAAGCGUGGGGAGCAAACAGG
rnacentral:rRNA from 1 species